UUGCGGAUUUUCAAGAAGUUCCCUCGAUUUCUCUGGGAUCCCAUCAUCAGAUCCUGGUUUCCUUAUCAUGGUACUAAACUAGGAAUAUCUUCUUUCCAACAAAAAAAAGAAUUAUCAAAAUCGGUACACCUAGUAAAAAGUUAUUGCGGAUUUUCAAGAGUUUCCCUCGAUUUCUCUAGGAUCCCAUCAUCAGAUCCUAGUUUCCUUAUCAUGGUACCAAACUAGGGAUAUCCCCUUUCCAACAAAAAAAGAAUUAUCAAAAUCGGUACAUCCAGUAGAAAGUUAU
rnacentral:misc_RNA from 1 species